GAUGAAGAACGCAGCGAAAUGCGAUAAGUAGUGUGAAUUGCAGAAUUCAGUGAAUCAUCGAAUCUUUGAACGCACAUUGCGCCCCUUGGUAUUCCAUGGGGCAUGCCUGUUCGAGCGUCAUUUGUACCCUCAAGCACUGCUUGGUGUUGGGUGUUUGUCCCGCUUUGCGCGUGGACUCGCCUUAAAGCAAUUGGCAGCCGGCAGAUUGGCCUGGAUCGCGAGCACAUUUUGCGACCUUGUCAUAACUGUUUGGCACCCAUCAAGACUAUUUUUUGCUCUUGACCUCGGAUCAGGUAGGGAUACCCGCUGAACUUAAGCAUAUCAAUAAGCGGAGA
rnacentral:misc_RNA from 1 species